ACUGGGCCAGUGAAGUGCAAGGUGGGCCCCUGGCUACCACACAUCCUCAAGCCAGCCACCCUGGGGAAGAGCUAACCUGCACAGCCUCUGUGGUCCUGCUGGGCUCCAGCCAAAGCCCCUUUAACACCCACUCACUAGUGGAUUUGACACACACCUGCUGCCUUUGGAUCAGGGUUGAGCUCGGCCCACGUGCACACCUGCCCUCCCCUUAAACUGUUAAGCACAGAUUCCAAGAGAGCCUGGGAUUCUAAAACACCAUUUGAGGUCAGCGUACAGGUAUCAGUUCACGUGGGCAAGAGCCGAACUCACCUCUGCCAUCACCCAGGUUUCCUGGGCUGAGCCAUGUGGGGUCAGAACCUCCAGGUACCUUCAGGUAGGAGACAAACACAGAGGCAAAGCUGCUUCUGUAAUCCUUGACCCCUGCUUAGAAGUCUCCCAGCACCUCACGACUCUGAGAAGCAGAGCCAGGAUUCAAACCCAGGUGCGCCCAGUUCCGGAGAUGGCACGCAGCUGGGCCAGGAGGAGAGUGGACUUGGUGCCCUGGCUGCCGUGGGAGCUCAUCGCCCACAGCAGAGGGGACAGCCAGCAGCCUUGGGCUCCAGUGGUCCAAAGACAAGCCUUCCUUGGUGUGUGCUAUUCUUAAAGUUUAUUUCCAACUUGCUUUUUAUUGUGGGAAAAUACACAUAAAAUUUAC
ensembl:lncRNA